UACGGGGGGGGCAAGCGUUGUUCGGAAUUACUGGGCGUAAAGGGUUUGUAGGUGGCUUGCUAAGUCAGACGUGAAAUCCCUCAGCUUAACUGGGGAACUGCGUCUGAGACUGGCAAGCUUGAGUGCAGGAGAGGAACGCGGAAUUCCAGGUGUAGCGGUGAAAUGCGUAGAUAUCUGGAGGAACACCGGUGGCGAAGGCGGCGUUCUGGACUGUAACUGACACUGAUGAACGAAAGCCAGGGGAGCAAACGGG
rnacentral:rRNA from 1 species